rnacentral:rRNA from 1 species
AGACGGUGACGUUAAGCAAAUCCCAGAAAUAACGUCCCAGUUCGGAUUGUAGUCUGCAACCCGACUACAUGAAGCUGGAAUCGCUAGUAAUCGCGAAUCAGAAUGUCGCGGUGAAUACGUUCCCGGGUCUUGUACACACCGCCCGUCACACCAUGGGAGUCGGAAAUGCCCGAAGUCAGUGACCCAACCGUAAGGAGGGAGCUGCCGAAGGUGGAGCCGGUAACUGGGGUGAAGUCGUAACAAGGUACC